AGAAUCAACGCUGGCGGCGUGCCUAACACAUGCAAGUCGCACGAGAAAGGGGAGCAAUUCCUGAGUAAAGUGGCGCACGGGUGAGUAACGCGUGAAUAAUCUACCUCCGAGUGGGGAAUAACUGAGAGAAAUCUUAGCUAAUACCGCAUAACACUUACGAGUCAAAGCAGCAAUGCGCUUGGAGAGGAGUUCGCGGCCGAUUAGUUAGUUGGCGGGGUAAUGGCCCACCAAGACGAUGAUCGGUAUCCGGCCUGAGAGGGCGCACGGACACACUGGAACUGAAACACGGUCCAGACUCCUACGGAGGCAGCAGUGGGGAAUUUUGCGCAAUGGGGGAAACCCUGACGCAGCAACGCCGCGUGGAGGAUGAAGCCCCUUGGGGUGUAAACUCCUUUCGAUCGGGAAGAUAAUGACGGUACCGAUAUAAGAAGCCCCGGCUAACUUCGUGCCAGCAGCCGC
rnacentral:rRNA from 1 species